rnacentral:lncRNA from 1 species
GGUCAACGUCGAACUCCCUGAAGUUGAACUGCCACACGAUGGGGCGGCCGCCGGUGGCGGAGGCCGGGAGGUUACCUUCGGCGUCGGAGAAGGUGAGGCCUAGCUGGAUGAGGUGGAGGAGGUCGACGUUGGCGCGGAGGAUGUGGUAGUUGCUGUCGGCGACGGUCUUGAAGUCGCCGAGGGGGCGGAUGGCGACGCCCGGAAACUCGGUGUCCAUGGCAACGAAAGGGAAGUCGUCGACGACCUCGCGGAUCACGGCGAACUCGGCUUCGAGGUUGUCGGCCCAGACGUCGCGGAACUCGACGCCGGCGGCAUCGUCGCUCUUCGACAUAGGUUAGGGAUCGGGUGGGUUGCGGGACGGAAGAGGUGGUGCAUAAGAAAUCCUAGAUCUCGGUGAGGAAGCGGAUCGAAACCUAAAUUGGCAGAGGAGAACGAGAUCUGAGACCGAGACGAAGCUAUUUGUAGAUCGAAUUAGGAUCGGAAGGAAGAGAGAACGGGGACGAUUAGGGUUCUUGAACGCGAUCGAUGUAGCAGAAGGGGAAAGGGCAGAAAGAGGAAACUUUUCCUCACAGUUUCAGUUUCGUGUCGGUGACGAAAAGAGGGGAAACGACUGUGGAAGAGCGAGCAACAACAAACGUGCAUUCCCCAUCCUCUUCGGAUUACACGGCUCGCUGGGAAUACCACGGCACGGCUUUAAAGAGGAGAGAGCGAGUGGAGGAAUGGGCGUGCCGUGUCCCGCCGGAACUGGUUAACUGGUACAAGCCCAACGUAGUUAAUUUUUUUCCCACCCACAAUGUAUACAACCAUUGUGAUUGGUGGGAGAACCGGGCCCCACAGUAACUCAUGUGGCGGAACUUUCUGCCGAAUCAUAUGGCUGGUAGCACGAAGCGGUACAACUGCAUGCGUAACUAAAGUAAGUUUCGUUCGUGAGCAAUAAUUUGCCAACCAGCCAGGGGGGCCCACUCUUAAUAAGAAGCGAAACAGGCCACGGAUGUUAAUGGGUGCGUGCAUGUGACAUGGCCGCGCAUCUGUGCUUUGUACGCGUCGAAAAGGAAGAAGGCGGCGUUUGGUCCGACGCAUGUGCGAGUUAACUUCGUUCAUGCACACACCGAAGGUUUGCGUUUGGUGGCAUUCUGGUGCAGUAUACAACCUGCAGAAGGCACAAACGCACCCAAGAAAUGCAUUACUCCAACCAUAAUCCACUACCAUACAUGGAUCAAGUUUUUUUGAGUAAGAAAAAGGAUUGAUCUAAGUUACUAGGCAUGGUAGACAUUAUAUCGUUACACAGGUCAUAGGUCUUACUGCAAUGUGAUGAAGAUUUCUUCAAUUACAAAAAAAAAGUUUACCUGUGCAUAAAAUGAGCAUGAAGACUGUUGUACACUUUGGUCAUGAAGUAUAAGACCACGUAGCGGAUCAUCCUAUAUCACAAGUCAAAAUUGAAAAAAAAGUCAACCCAACCAGAGAAAGCAAACACAUCAACAUAAUGCGUACCUAGGCUGAGGUGUAGAAGUCUCGGUUGUCGUUGGACACUCCAUAUGUUGUCAAUAUCGACACGAGUCUUGCUCAUUGAGCCAUCCUUUUCCAGUUGAUCUGAGACAAUUUGGACAAAAUGGAAAUAUAAAGAAUGACCAAACAAAGACAUUAAGGACCUCUUUUACAAGACUUGUUUGCAUACAGCGUUCUUAUUCCAGUACUAUACUCUGCUUGUUCACUCAACAAUUUGGAUAUCAUCAAGUUUGCAGUCCCCAGUUGAAUUGUGGGAGGAUCAAAAGCAGGUUAAUGGCUUUACAGUUCACAUGCUACAUUCACAAAUUCCAUUUGAAGCCAAAACACUAGAGAACAACUAUAUUCAUGAACUUCCUCUUUGCGAAAGCUAGCCACCACUUGUUAGGGGUGCCAUUAGGCCUAUAAGCACAGUUAAGCAGCCUUCCACUUGUCUCCUCUCUUAUCUGCUUCAAAUAGUUCCUGAAUAGUUCUGCAGUUCCACAAAUUGAUUUUGAUGUUAAAUAAUAUGGUUAAGCAAGUUCCAUAUGCACAUUUAUGUAUUUAGAUAAAAGAGAGCCUAAGUUAGUUGUUUUAAGCCAAUUGCUAUUUAGUAUCAGAUGAUGACAAGAAAUAAUACCUGCUUCAUCCUGAGACUGUGGAACGGAAAAAAGACCAGGAAAAGGAAAACCUGGCUCUCCAGGCACAGGAACCUUCUCUAGGCCCAAAUUAAUGAUAGCUUUGGUCCCCACAGCAAGAGUUCUGCAACCCUCCAGCCGUUUCAGAGCCACAUUGAUGUAAAAUGUCAAGUAGAUAAGGAGCUUGUCAGCUGGACUCUUGAUGUCAAAAUUUUUAAAGAAAACAUUUGCUCGAAAGAAAGUUAUUGCCUCAUCAACAAUGUCGAUUUUGUCUGGAAAGAUGUAAAUACCAAAUGAGUGAAAACUCACAUACUAGAUAUUUGGUCUGGAACAAAAUUUGGAUAUUACAAACAACUAAGGGACAUGAGACAACCUUGAUCUGAGACAGGAGCAGGACCCUUAAUAUGAGUUUUCAACGGAAGAAGGGGGCAACCACAGGCUUUCGUUAUCCCUUCUUCAUCAACAAAACUAGAAUGAUAAACCUGCCACAGCAGGAUAACCUUAAAUAUUAUGGUGAUUACUAGCAACAAAAGAACAACUUGUUCAUUAAACAAGAUUCAAAGAUCCAAUAUAAAGAAAAUUAGCGAUCUCCCAUGAGGAUGAAUCUGAAAAAUAAAAGAGCUUAUCCCCGUGACAAAGUUCAGUGCUAGUUUUUAUGGUAAAAGAAGCUACCUAAGUUUCUUUUGUCACAAAUUGUGGUCUUGCUACUUGUAAACUAAAGUUCUACUUGAGUAGUUUCUACUUUAUACCUCUUCGCCCCUAACUACAGGAUCAUCAUGUUGUACGACCAUGUAACCCUUACAAGACAUUCAAGUGUUCACAUCAAUUGUUUCUCCAUCCAAAGGAUUUUAUUAAAGAGUCAAAUAUCAUUUUAUCACAACACUAUGAGUACUGUACAUAUUACACUUCCAGUUUGUGUUAACUAAUCAAGAUUCCAGGGACAUGGAAACCUAAAAACAACUAAAAUCUUUCAAAGUUGUUAGUGAAUCUGUGACUUUUAUAUUUCAAACUCACGUUACCUUAACACAGGUACAUCCAUGAGUUUGACACCCCCGAAGAUGUCAACACAGAAAAAGUUUUCCAUCUCAGCCAACACAUAUACUGCCUACUGUCUGUCUCACAAUGUUAAAAAACUAAUAAAUAGUUUCUGCAUUGGCAAGGAAUUUUCUGUACCACCAUUUUAUGUGUUUGAACUAGCGAGAUACACUCUCAGGCAUUGCCUGUUUCACACUCAUGGAAAGUAAUCUUGAAGGUGAUAAUCUCAAUUCAUUGUUUUUUAACUCGUUGCAAUACAUAAAAUAACAACAGUUCUUAAUGUAAUAAUUCUUUGACACUUCAGAUUCCUGGUUAAGGAAGUUUCUUUUGAAAAAAUCAAACAAAUUUAGUAUUUAGUAUUUACUUCCAUGAAACUCACAUUCCAAUAUGAUUUGGUAAAUGUAUGUGCAGAUUCAGAAACUACACUUUAUUUUUCAUAACAAGUCCUUGAGGUAAGAACCUUUCUAUUCCAAAACACCCAAAGCAAGGCAGUGUUUUUCUACACCAUUAUUUAGCAACAAUAUCACAAUAGUUGCAAAACCUAAGGGGGAUAAAACUCAUUCACUCCAUCCAAGAGUAAAACUCGUAUAUAUGGAAAUGAUUUUCUUCUUAUUUAAUAACCAAAUCACAGCCCAGCCUAAAUAUUCAGCUCUAACUUCCAAAAAUUCCUUAAAUCAUUACAAUCAAAUAAUCACACAAAUCCAAGAAAGGCUUAUAAAGUUGGUUCCUUGGGUCUUCCUCUUGGCAGAACUACAAAAAGAAGUAGGAACCUUUUACAUUUUAAAAUAAACCACAUCUAUGCAUAUGCAUUUUUAAAAUUUCUGACUUGUUGUUUUGCACGAUAGAUAGCACCUUUUAUUGUCUUAUCACCAAACAUACAAGAAACGACACUGGGAUCCUUUGUGUCCUUGAAAUAUUUAUACUUCCAUGUAGGACCCUUUUCUGAGUUUCUUACUGACAAUUCAUCUGAAAUGCUACCUAUUGUAACCAUGAUUCAAGAUUUCAAAGCUGCAGCGACAAUCCAAAACACUAAAAGGUAGCACUAAUCACUAUAGCAAUAACAAUAAUAAUCGACAUUUUACUACUGAUUCUCUAUAGCAGGCAACUGCUGUUCUCACAAACAUAGACAAACAGCAAAGCAGGCAGCUGUUCUAAGUUUAAAUUGACAAACAGCAAUGAAGUGGCAGCAGUGAACGGGGAAGAAGGCAGCGAUGAAGGAGGAAGAGGGAAGAGGUAAGAGGCUGUAGUGAAUGUAGGAGGGCUGCGGUGAAUGGGGAAGAAGGCAGCGAUGAACAGGGAAGAGAGAAGAAGCUGCGGUGAACGGGAAAGAAGGGAGCGACGAACAGGGAAGAGGGAAGAGGGAAGUGGUUGUGGUGAACAAAGGAGGGCUGCGGUGAACAGGGUAGAGGUAGGAGGGAGGAGGGAGGAGGGAGGAGGAGAAAGAGAGAGAUAUUCCGAGAGGGAGGGGAAGAAGUCGUUGACGCUACCGUCAGAAGAAGAUGUCGUCGGAGGAAGACGCUGCCCUCGGGCACUGCCGUUGCUGCUGGAGGAAGACAUCGUCGCUGCCGCUGCUACCGUCGUUCACCGAUGGGAGGAACUCCGCCACUGUCCAUAAACACAGUGGGAAAAGGGUCUUCUGCGUUAGGGCACAGCUCGUGCGUGGUUUCAAUCAAACUUCGCUGUCGUUGACUCAGGCUUGAUAGAUUAACUGGUUCAAUUGAACCAAAUAGGAUUGUUUAGUUCGACUCAGGCUCGACUUGGCCUGAGUUGAACUAGGCGAUCAAGCACCUAGGCCGCGCAUGAGUGAAGUCACACCUGCCCAACCCAAUAGGCAGGCACUCAAGCCUAAGCUUCACCUCACUCGGACACCUAGGUGGGCACCCGGUGACUUCACUGGCUAAUGUAACAACUUUAAACACAUAAUCCAAAAUCAAAUUCUCUAGAAAAGCAUAAAUUUACAGAACCAGUCCUCCUCAUGCAGUCCUGGCCAUCAGAUGAGCCACAGAAACAAAUAAUUUAAUGGAAGGAGAUUAAACAAUAAGUAUUUAUGAUCAACAUCAUCAAAAAUUUUCUGACAUCAUAAAGAAAGAUAGUAGAGGACAGACAAGAGAUCAACAAGGCUCAAGUAAUUACACUCCUAUCAUCAUUAUUUUAGAUAUUUAUUAUAAGCCAGUGUUUCAAUGCCCAGUUCCUCUCAACCAGAAGAUGUACAUCAUUCCUGGAUCGAUGAAUAAUUGCAACAACAAAAAAAAACAUCAAUGGAGAAUUUUGCUGACUCAGGGUAGCUUGGUUGUAAUUGACUCAAUCUAGACAGUAUAACAAAUCAAAGAUGAUAUGUUAUUGAAGUAAAUCAAAUCUAGUUGAUUCAAAAGAUCAUUUUUGUUAUUGAAGUAAGCAGUCCAAAAAGUGGUUUGAAAUGUUUUACCAGCUAAUGGUUAAGAUCAAGUUGCAAAAAUCAAUCCAUGUAAUAAAAUUAUAUUCCAGAUGUUGCUUAAAUACAUGGUAGCACAACAAAGACAGAGCAACACAAGCGUUACCUUGCAUCAAUAGAUCAUAAGAUCUAAAAAGAAAAUUCAAGAGCAAGACUAAAGUACAUACCAUUUUGUACCAGUCUGAACUCCAGCCAAACUAGAACUAGUCCGAUUAACACAGUCUGUCAAAAGAAAAAUGUAACAUGAUGUUAAACCAUUAUAAACGCAGAAUGAAAUCUUGGAAAAACAUGUACAUCAGAAAAAUGAGAAAGAUCACACAGGGAACAUCUGAACUUUCAUUUCACAUCCCAUAUUUUCACUUCUUUACAAGCUGACAACAAGCCAAUUUACUGAUUUUACAUAUCGCAAUCGAGAAUGGUAGCAGAUCUAACAAAGAGACGAAAUUUUGGAUCUAAUCAUGAUAUUUCCGACAUAAACUAGUUACCAGUAUGCAUCGACCCAAGCGAUAUAACAUGAGAUCUAACUGCGGCCGCCAGAUCCACACACAAAAACGACACAUUCAAGAGAACACUCAUGACGGACGCCAAAAGAUGAAUAGAGAUCAAGAACGAACGCGAAAGAGGGAGAAGUGACCUGGGCUUCAGAUCUGAAUCUAGGGUUCCAGCGGCAUUCGGUCGAAGGAUAGAAGAACAGGGGCGGAAAGAGGGGAAUCGAGGGGCGGAAAGAGGGGAAUCGAACGCCGCGAGGACGAGAGAAACGGAUCAGCAUACCGGAUCUAUAGGACGAGAGGAAAACGGGUCGGAUCUUGGGAUCUUAUCCGACCCACACUCUGAACUGAUCGCAUCACUUUAACGGAUACAUUCGAUCCAAUCCGGUCCAGCCCGUCACGAGAAGACAUAAAUGUAAGUAAGCUAUGGGACAUGUAAACUUAUUAUUUUAUAUGUACAUAUAUUCAUAUAAUAUUGUUUGAUUGAUUGGUAAUUACGACAUCAACUUAGUUGUGCUCUAUAUAUGGGUUUGGAUUACUGCCUUUUUAAGAGAAAAGUUAGUUCAUAUUAUUUGAGUCAGGACCUUAUGAUGAUGGCAAGAUUUUUGUUAGUUAGUAUUUUUAUUAAUAUUAUAUAUAUAUAUAUUAUAUUUAUUAAUCAUAUAAUUAUAUAAUUUAAUUCUGCUUAUGUAUUCUCUGAGAUACGUGGAAAUUAUCUAUUUAUUAAAUCUUCAUGAAAGAUAAUUAUUUUUUUUUAUACAUGACACCUCCAAGUUUGUAUUACCCAUAUAUUUACCUGUCUCUUCAACUACGUGCUUCGUGAAACUUACGGUGCAACCCUUCAUACUACCAAUCAAAAUGUGGGUAAUCGAGACAAGUACAGUUAAACGAGUGGAAAAGUAUUUACAUAAUAAAAUUUUAUAAUGACUUCCACCGCAGCUGAACCGCGUCUCACGACACGCCUCUUAUUUAGUCUCUCUCCGCUCUCCCUUCGUUUCUUCGGCGGCGUCAUAAUGGCCGGAGGUAAACACGACACGGACGAAGGGAACCCUAACCCGAUUCCGACUCCUCCACCGCUCGCCGGGGACGCACCGCUAUCCGGGGAGGCGACGUCGCCACCGCUUCCGCCGCCUUCCGCCCGCAGGCCCUUCACCAGCCUCAGCCAGGUCGAUGCUGACCUAGCUCUUGCCCGCGCGCUUCAAGAACAGGCACCUCAUCACUGGACCUCCUCCUCCUCCUCCUCCUGCUCCUCUAUGCUCGAAUCGUGUUAUGGGGUCGGGAAUGAGGGUUUAGGCGUUCUUUUGAUGUUGGCGGUUGGGUGCAGGAGAGGGCCUACGCAUUGCUGAGGAUGAACGGUGUCGACGGCAGUGAUUACGAGAGCUCCGACGCCGAUAGCUACGAUUAUGAGGAGGAGGAAGUCGAGGAGGGCGUGGGAGACGAGCCGGACCAUGUGAUCGAGGAGGACGCGGGGAACAUCGAGGGGAGCGACUACGACCAUGAUGCUUUCGAUGCUAAUGAUCCUGAUGUUGACGAUGAGGCAUUCACAAUGGCGCUGCAGGAUUCUGAGGAGCAGGAGGUGGCUGUUCGGUUGAUGGCCCUCGCAGGAUUAAAUGAAUGUUAGAGAAUGCUGCUUUGAGUCAUUACUAUCUGUUGGAUUUCGGUAUAUUGGAUCUUGAAUUGACUGUUUGUUUCUUUUCAGGGGUGUCAGAUGAUCAUGAUGAUUAUGGCAACAACUCUCAAGUGAGAUAUCAAUUUUUCCUAUACCACUGUUUCAUCACUCUCAUAAAUUCAUUAACUUGAUUAUGAAGUGCAAAUUAGACUUCCAUAUGCUGUCGUUUGAAUAACAAACAUGCCUUGUAGUUUUCCCCACUAUUUUGUUUCUACCUCAUCUUUUUUUGGAUACUUAAGCAAUCUUUGUUUUAAUUCAUUCUACUAUUUCUCACUGUUUUGCAAUGCUUUCUAUGUAUAGUUGUAUUUCUGUUAGAUGUUUUUCAUUUAAAUUGCUAAUAAAUUGCUAAAUUUUAGACGUCUAGCUUCUUUAUAAGAGAAACCGUGACCCCUUGAGUUGGUUUGCCAUGAGAAAUUGUGUUUAAUUACUUUAAACAUUUGAUUUGAACUUUGGUUGUCUUUGAUUGCUUGGUCUGUAAAAUUGAAUAAAAUUUAUGAGGUUGGAUCCUGCGAUUUUGGUGUUUGAACAUUGUGAGCUGCAACAGCUGCUUCUGGAUAUAAUUCAAGCUGACUAAAACUCAAGUUUUAUGCCCAUCACACUCCAUCAGUAAAUCUUAAUUGAUUGUUUUUAACUGGCUUUUGAUAAGAGAAAACCAGCCCUGAAUAAGGAUGUGGCGCAAAGAAAAACAUACCUGUGACAUGCGUAUUUUUUGUGCUCAAUAUGUAAGGAUGGAUGUGAAAUCAUAUGUUUUUGCCCUGUUUCACAAACCACAAUUACGGAUGUUUAUACUUACCACACUAAUUACUUGAAUUUUUUAUUUUCUCAUCAAAAUUUAUCAUUGUACAACAUAAACAGCCAAACUCUAAUUCAAAUUAGAUUUUUAUAAGAAACGAAAGAAAUGAUUUAAUCAAAUUUUGCUUUUUUAGUGGAAAGAUGCUUGUAAUUUAAUAAAAGACUUAUGAAAUUGUCUUACAUAUUACAUAUUCUAUCUCAGGAUGCCUGGCAAGAGGUUGAUCCAGAUGAAUACUCAUAUGAGGCAAGUGAUCUUUUGCCUCCAAAAACUUUGCCCCUCUUAUAAAACUUCAUUUAAGUUGGACUUUGAUUUUUCUUCUUCUUCAGGAACUAAUUGCACUAGGCGAGGUAGUUGGAACUGAAAAUAGAGGCCUUUCGGUUGACAAAAUAUCCGCUUUGCCUUUAGUAAGUUACACGGCAAACAAUGUCCAAGACAGCAAUGCUGAACAGUAUGCAUACAUAUAUCUCAGGCUUCUAGCAUUAUUCAUUUAUAUAAGACUUGAAAUUUGUCUACGCAACAAUUGAAUGAAAACCACAGAUGUGUCAUAUGCCGGCUGGAGUAUGAGGAUGGUGAUUCCUUGAUGCUGCUUUCUUGCAAGCACAGAUAUCACUUUGAAUGCAUAAACAAGUGGCUACAAAUAAACAAGGUAACACUCUAGAAAAAUGAUAGGGCUUUGUUGUGUGUUCAGCAAUGUUUGAAGUUAUUUACUGAUGAAUCAGGCUUGCAUUAGAAUCUGCAUAAAUAACAAAACCAGGGUGGUCACUUUCUUAUGUACCAUGUGUUUUUAUUUGAGUCUGGAUUAUUUGAUAAUAAUUCGUCAUAUUCUGGAGGAAAUUUGAAGUUUCUGAUGUCUGAGAUUCAAUUUUGGUAAUUAGUUUUGUAUCUAGCUAUAAAUAGACAUAUAGGUUCAUUAGAAUGUAUAGUUUUGUUCUUAGAUUGGUUCCACUUAUCUGCUUAUUAUUGGGAGCAUAAUUUUUCUAACAAUACAGGAUUCUUCUAAUAGGCUAUGUAUGGUUACAGAAUCCUUGACAAUUUGUAAAAUUUCUAUUAGUUACAUAUGAGUUCAUUGCUGAUGUGUACACCUUAUUGUACCUUAUAUAAUGUUUAGACUCAUAUUUUGCAAUAAGUUCAAGGAAUGAUGUUUUCAAAUAUUAUAUUUCAUAUAUUGUUACAUUUCUUGCUCUGCCAAAAUCUGAAGUCUUCUUGGAACAAGACAUCUAACUAGCUUCUUUAAAUAUUAUUUUAGAUCGAGCCUGACAAGCCUUCUCUUAAAUUUCGACAUUCUUUAGUUUAGUUACUGCCUUUACCAUAAUCUAGCUUAGCUUUUGUUUAAAAAUUAUAUUAAGGAUCUAGUGAGUUUCCUAUUAGCAUAGAAUUAUAUUAAGGAUCUGCAAUAAAUUCCUACCUUAUUACAUUGAUACUAUAUGAACUUAUUAGUUACUUAGAUGAUAGACCUCUUUGGUGUAUGUUCUUUAUUAAUGAUAUUGUCGUAGUUAAUGAAAGCAUAAGUGGAAUUAAUUAUAAAGUUGAUAUAUAGAGACAAGCCUUAGAAACUAAAUGUUUUAAAUUAAGUAGAACUAAAACUGAAUAUAUAAAAUGUAAUUUUAGUGAUUCUAUGAAUAUAAAAGAGAAUAUAGUUAAGUUGGAUGCACAAGAAAUCUCUUUUAGUAAAAGUUUUAUGUAUCUUACAUCAAUUAUUUAAUAAGAUGCAGAGAUCGAUGAAAAUAUUAUUCAUAGAGUAAAAACGGAAUUGUUAAAAUGGCGAUAGGCAUUAGGAGUCUUGUGUGAUCAUUGGAUACCUUUAAGAUUUAAAAAAAAAUUAUAAGGCAAUUGUGAGACUAAUAAUGGUUUAUAAAUUUGAGUGUUGGGUAGUAAGAAGCAACAUAUAUAAAAAGUUCAUUGUCAAUAUGAGAAUGUUGAAAUGAAUGUGUGGAGUUCUUAGAAAAGAUAGGAAAAGAAAUACGUAUCGCUUUAAUAGUGGAUAAGAUAAGAGAAAAUCGUUUAAGACGAUAUGGGCAUGUGCUUAAGAGAUAUCCAGAUGCUGUAGUUAGAAGAGGUAAAAUGAUUAAUGUCAAUGAUACAAGGAGAGGUAGAAGAAGACCUAAAAGGACUUUAAUAGAAAUUAUACAUAAAGAUUUAAGCAUUUUGAACUUAGCUAAACGUAUAAUUUUUUCAUAAAAGAUCAAUGUAGUUGACCCAAAAUAGUUGGGGCUUAUGAGUUUGUUGUUGUUUAAUAAUCAAUUUGGCAAUCAUAAUUUUAAUUACCUGUAAUAUAUGGAAUAAUCAAUUUCUUCAAUGAGAUGUUUGACUACUCAUAUCAUAUAUAUCAGAAAUAAUUUAGGCUUUUGAUUGGUUUUGGUUUUGUUAAAUUUUCAUAGAGACAAGUAAUUUAGGAUAAAACAUUACUGAGUUUUAGCCUUGGUAGAGACUUAUGAUGACUGAAACAGGCAAUCACCACAACAAUAAGGAAUUGGCAUAACUGUAGGUUUUGUCAGAACAAUACAUCUUGGAAACAACUGUAGGUUACAAGCUACAACAUUUGGAUGAUCAAUCAUUAUUUUUAUGUUUGACAGUAAAGAAAUUGAGGAGAGAAGUUUUAUGAACAACCUUUCUAUAACCAAUUAAUUUCAAGCAGACUAUUGUUUUGGUUAUUCUAAAACAAAAAAUCUCUCGAAACUGAUACUCUUAACACAGAAAAGUCAUUUCUGAACAAAUGCCGUGUUAUAUAAACAACAUUUAAAAUUGGAGUUCCAUUUUACAGCUUUUUUUUUCACUGUGAUUAUUGAUCUGCACUGUGUACCAUAAUAUACUGCCAGAGUCAGCUUGAUGCUUUUCAUUUUUGAGUUUACACCACUACAUUAUGUUGGAUCAUUGUUUUCCUUAAACUUGUCUUGCAUGCUCUUUUCCCCUGCUCUUUUUUGUUUCAUUAAAUCGUCAGCCUAGUUUUAUUGCAUUUUGUGUACAUGGUGGCCCUCUUUUGGGUCCAUGAAGGGCUACGGCUUAGUUCAGACUUUAUAUUUAGUGAGUUAUGAAUUCGUAUCUUUCUCAAUUUAAGAGGAGCUUCCCCCUUUCUCUUUUCUGCAUUUUGUUUGGUUUUAAAUCUAGUAUCAUUCUUGGAUCUUCAGAGUUAUUUUAAUUAACAGAAGCAUGAAUUAACUACACAUUAGAGCCAGUACAGGUUACAGUAAAGAUGGAGCAUUGGACGAAAUUUUAUUUCCUAUUCGUGGAUAGAUUCCAAGUAGUUUUUUAAAGAGGAUGGAGAUCUUGAGUAAAGAAAGGGCAUGAAUGUAUUUGUCACACUCAAUCUGCCUAACAUUGUGGGGGAUCAGUUUUGGUAACUUUUUUUUCCAUUUUGGUGCUGGCUUGAACUUCUUAGUGUUUUUGUUGGCUUUAAUAUACUAGACCAUGUAUAUAGAUGGAGUAAUAUUAGUACCAAGGUAGCCGCUUGAUUCAAGAGUUGUUAGAUAAUGCUAUAUAUCUUCAUUUGAACUUCUAGUGUGGAUAGUUCAAUAGUAUACUUUCAUUUAAAGUUGGGAUAGCUUGUAGUUUGUGCCACAAGACCUACCACCUACCAUUGCUUAUGAUGGGAGGGUCGCCUCUGUGCCAGUUAUAUUAUUGUACUCUUAGCUCGUUUUCUGGUAUUCGAUUGAUACAAUGUUGCUCGUACUAUUUUUCUUUUUUACAAAAGGAUGAGUGAGAUCUCACCAAUUUUAUUACUAUACUCUUGGCUCUUGGUCUGGUAUUUUAUUGAUACAAUGAUGCUUGUACUAUUUUUCCUAACAAAAGAUAAUUGAAAUCUCACCAAUGUAUUUUCUCCUGUAGGUAUGUCCUGCCUGUAACGCCGAGGUAUCAACAUCAGAGAACAAGUAGAGAUCUGCAUAACCUGAUGAAGAGACCAUCGUCUUCUGGAGAUGCUUUUAAGGAGAUUACUUCUAUAGAAAAACACCAUAAAGAUGUCCCACCUAUCAAUGCAUCGCAGUUGGUGCGACUUCCAUAUAUGUUACAGUAUAAUGGAACCCGUUAUCAUCUUUAAUGUGGUAAAACCUUUUCCUUGUUUGAUGUUCUAAUCAACACACCACAAAAUUGUACGAUUAUUGUUAUCCAUAAUUGUAACUGGAAUUCUGAGUUCAGUGACCAUCAAACUCGAGAUGUGGAUGCCAGGUAUUAUCAUAUUUUUUUCACAAAUCGAAAACUCAAAAUUAAUGGCUUGCUCCAUCUAUUUUUGUAAUUUUGUUUUCCUAAAAUCUUUGUGUAAUUGGAAGGCUUCGCAACAUGGAAGACAUGGGAGGGGAGAAUGGCUUUGCCAUGCAGAAGAAGAGCUUCAUCCACGGAACAAUACCAAGGUACUUACAAUCCCAGAUUACAUUAGAACAGCAGUCACAAUAGUCUCCUUUCUCAAUGUCAAUGCACACACGACUGGAACUAAUUCAAAUGUGUCCCACUCAUGAGCUUUUCAUGUCAUCAACAAUCCAGAGAUCAACUAUAAGCCUCUUCAGCACAGCCUAUUCUGGACGCCACAGUAUCUUCAUACACCACUCUCUGAUUCUUCUGCUGAUAGUUCCCGAUGAUGCCGACUUGGCCGUCGAACUGAAGACUAGCGAUCGCCAAACAAACCUGAGAAGCGUCCUUCUUCACCAAGUAGAAGAUGCCGGUGACGUCCACGUUAAUCUCCGCGCCGCCCUCGAAUCCAAACCUCACCUUGGGGAACCUUCACCUCCUCGUAUGCCGACAGGUUGAAGCAGGUAUCCAAGAUUGAGAAGCUCGGCGCCGGCGGAUAGCCUGAGAACUGCCUCACGAACUCGGCCUUCAGCGUCUGGUGAUCACCGUGCCCGAAUCGAUGAGGGUUCUGCCGUUGGAGAAACCGGCGGCAUCGAGUGGCACACCGCCGAUGCUCGCGCCGGUGCGGUUGAGGAAGUAGAAUGGCGCUUGCCGAGAUAUGAUACCAUUCGAGUGUCCGAGACCGGCGUGGAGUUCUUGUAGAGAGCAGGAUCUUGAUGAGUUGAGGAUUCUUGUGGGGAGGCAGUAGGAGAAGAAUCGGCCGAAUUGAGAGGUGGUUUGGGAGACCAGAGAGAGCUGAGUCCUGCCGAGCCCCAUGAGACCGAAGGUUCCGGAGGCCGCAGCCGAAGAUGAAGCCCCCGAUGCUCGUCCCACCGAUGUCGAUCCUCUCGCGGCCCAGCACGCCGUGAGUGUAGGAGCCAUCUCUGCAGCUGAGGGCGUAGUUGCAGGUCGACCGGUCGGCGCCACAGACGCCGGCCUUCCCGGUGGCCGCCUGAAGCAGGGAGUAGCCGGUGGUGGAGUUGCAGGUGAUGCUGUGGUACGAAGGCGAGGCGGAGGUGUUGAAGAGGCGUCCUGUUGGCUGUAGCAGGAGGGAGCAAGGCUUGCAUUGGACCCGGGUGAGGUCGUCGCCAGAGUCGACGACUGUCAUUUGCUAAUCAAUUUAAUUAUUAAUUGAUUUACUUCAUAUGAAUUUUACAUAGUGAAUUUUAAACAUUUCAUUUUUAUGUGUGCAUCAUGAUAAAAUAAAGAUUAUAUUUUUAAUACAUAAUUUAAUCCUAAUAAGAUACGAUCUAAUCUAUGUAACUUGACAUGAUCUAGCUCAUGUAGUCACAAAUAAUCCAACUCAUGUAGUCAUAUAGCAAUCAGUCUAUAUUGUAAGGUACGAUCAAACUCAUAUAAUCGAGUAUGAUCUGACUCAUAUGAGUUAAGCAUAAUUAAGUUUAAUGAUAAGACUUAGUAUAGCCCGUUAUACCUCAAUCGAAUACAUUAUUUUUAUAAACUAAUAUUACUCUUACUCACUUUGUAUGUAAAACAAAUUGAGAUGUUAUAUAAUCACAUGUUGACACUUAUCUGAUUUUAGCAACUUCAUAUAUAUAUAUAUAUAUAUAUCCAUUUUAUUUUAUGAAGCCAUAGGAUGAUGAUGACGAUAUAUAGAGCUAAAAAGGAUAGGGAAGAAAACACAAACGCAUACCAAACAGAGUUCUUUAUUUUUUCCUUUGUCAGAUUCAUUAGAGACUUCGAUCGUCAUUCGAUAUCGAGACCAUACAUAACCCCAGCAUAUCUGUCUAUUGAUCCAUCAAAGUGCUUCUCCAUCAGCUUCCUAAACGCCCGAGCAGUAAGCAAGCUAUCUGACCCAGCCUGGUGGCAAGUCCCCACCCUGUCGACCUCCAACUGCUCGGCUACCUUGUUUAGCCCCCCGUGGAGGCUGUUUGAGAACCUCAUCAGGUGCUUGAUGUCGUACAUGACCGGGAAGAACGUCCUGAUGAGCUCCGAGAACCCUUCUCGGGUCUCAGGAAGCCUACGGCAAGUUAGGAUUUUUAGGAGGUACCCGAAGUCGUAAGCACAGUGGAAGGUCACCCAGCGGACGGAAUCAUUGAGGACAACGCCGGACGCCAUGAAGAGCUCGGCGAACCGGUUGGCAUCCACCCCGUGCUCCCGAUUCCUCUUGAAAUCGAUGUCGGACUUCCUGAGGAGGUCGAUGGAGUCGGGGUUGCUGAUGUCACGGUCAACGUCGAACUCCCUGAAGUUGAACUGCCACACGAUGGGGCGGCCGCCGGUGGCGGUGGCCGGGAGGUUACCUUCGGCGUCGGAGAAGGUGAGGCCGAGCUGGAUGAGGUGGAGGAGGUCGACGUUGGCGCGGAGGAUGUGGUAGUUGCUGUCGGCUACGGUCUUGAAGUCGCCAAGGGGGCGGAUGGCGACGCCCGGAAACUCGGUGUCCAUGGCAACGAAAGGGAAGUCGUCGACGACCUCGCGGAUCACGGCGAACUCGGCUUCGAGGUUGUCGGCCCAGACGUCGCGGAUCUCGACGCCGGCGUCAUCGUCGCUCUUCGACAUAGGUUAGGGAUCGGGUGGGUUGCGGGACGGAAGAGGUGGUGCAUAAGAAAUCCUAGAUCUCGGUAAGGAAGCGGAUCGAAACCUAAAUUGGCAGAGGGGAACGAGAUCUGAGACCAAGACGAAGCUAUUUGUAGAUCGAAUUACGAUCGGAAGGAAGAGGGAACGAGGACGAUUAGGGUUCUUG